UCGUCAAGCUUGGGUAUAGGGGCGAAAGACUAAUCGAACCAUCUAGUAGCUGGUUCCCUCCGAAAUUUCCCUCAGGAUAGCAGCAACUUA